AUUGUGGUGUGAGGAUAUGUGCCAACACUCUCAAAGACCCAUUUUCCACUCUGAAAAGUUCGGCUUCCAAAAAAAAAAAAAAAAAAAAAAAAAAAAAAAAAAAAAAAGUGAGUGGGAGAGAGAAAACUGCUCGGUUUCUUGCUCAGCUGGGCCUUAUACCGGAAGCAAAAGAGCCCUAAUGCACGGCCUGCUGCCCGGUAAACAUUUUUUGGGACAAAGUGAAGUCAGCUCUUCUCAGUCCAGGCAAACGGGACGCAGAGUCGUAUAAUCCAAGCGGUCUGCCUCCCGACUUCUUCAUGCAAGGUGUUUAUGUGCGGCUUUCAACUCGUGAUAGUUCCAUGAAACUCGAAGCUGCGCGCGCCUGGCUGCACUCUCAGUCCCGGUGCCGUCACGUCCCCGCACCGAGUCUCCGCGCUACGUGCCACCGAGACGCUGCACCGUCAGAGCUCGAGUGUCGGAGCAGAAGCCUGACCGCGCACCGACAGUAAGUAGCCUGCCCUGCGCCCUCAGCUCACGCGCUCACCAAAUCAGCUGUUGCUCCUCCAGACUGGACGCCGCGCGCUCUCUCUCCUUGCAUGCUCCGGCGUCGCCGAUCACGUAAAAGUGCAGUCCGCUUCUCGGUUCUUCUCCACCUGUCCUCCACCCCCCUCUCAGUGUCGGCACAAAGUUGCUGGGAGGACCGCGUCUGAAACAAAACUCAGCAUGUGGCAGCGCGAGUGUCGCAACAUCCGCGAGCGGGACCUCAGCGGACGGUCUGUGAUCUGAAACCCAAAAACAAAGAGAUUUCUUUUAGGGCUGGAGUCUUCUCUGUGGUGCCACUUUCGUGUUUGGUAGUGCAUCCAAAAGGACAUGAAUAUUCAUGGAUAAUCCAUUCUGCACCCUCCACCCCAGAACCACACCACCGCCCCCCAACCCCACUCGGCCCUGCAGUUGAAGGCAACACUUGGUAGUGGCACAUGGUGAGACAGCUGUUGCGAACCAAGCCUGGCAUCUGUGCAGCGGGAGAGCACGAGGAAGCGAGAGACCGAGGGGAGCGCGCGCAUGCAAAAGACACGGUUAGAAUCAGAUAACGAAGGCAGAGAUAAAGAGAGGGAGGAGGCUUUUAUAUACAGUAUGGUAUGGAACAGGCAGUGGUUGGAGGCAUCUGGGUAAAGGAGAGCCAGACAGACAGAAGGAGCAGGGCGGUGACAGGGUCAUCUGGGUGAAAAGGAAGGGGACAAGCCAGACGGAUAGAAACGGGCACUGAUGGGAG
ensembl:lncRNA